AUCUUUUUAGUAUAAAAAAUACAAAUGACUUCCAAUCAUUUUAUCUUAGUUAAAGUCUAAGAAAAGAUA
rnacentral:tRNA from 1 species